GAUUCGGGGUGCAGCAGGCGCGAAAACUUUACAAUGCUGGCAACAGCGAUAAGGGGACCUCGAGUGCCAGGUUACAAAUCUGGCUGUCGUGAUGCCUAAAAAGCAUUGCAUAGCAAGGGCCGGGCAAGACCGGUGCCAGCCGCCGCGGUAACACCGGCGGCUCGAGUGGUAACCGUUAUUAUUGGGUCUAAAGGGUCUGUAGCCGGCCGGAUAAGUCUCUUGGGAAAUCCAGCAGCUCAACUGUUGGGCUUUCAGGAGAUACUGUCUGGCUCGAGGCCGGGAGAGGUGAGAGGUACUUCAGGGGUAGGGGUGAAAUCUUGUAAUCCUUGAAGGACCACCAGUGGCGAAGGCGUCUCACCAGAACGGACCUGACGGCAAGGGACGAAAGCUAGGGGCACGAACCGGAUUAGAUACCCGGGUAGUCCUAGCCGUAAACGAUACUCGCUAGGUGUCGGCCACGGUGCGACCGUUGUCGGUGCCGUAGGGAAGCCGUGAAGCGAGCCACCUGGGAAGUACGGCCGCAAGGCUGAAACUUAAAGGAAUUGGCGGGGGAGCACAAUCACUAGUGAAU
rnacentral:rRNA from 1 species